rnacentral:lncRNA from 1 species
AUUACCUCUUGUGUUUUUUUCCCUGAUCCCAAACUAUCCUAUAAUCAUGAUGUGCAGCUUCUUAAAACCAUGUUUCAUCCCUUACAGGUUUUCUAUCCUGUUCAUCACCAGAAAUAAUCCCUUAACAAGAAACUCUUCCGUAGAUUGUGAAGAUCAGAUCUGAUUCAGAAAGGCAGUGUGGCAGGUAUGCAGAGAAUCAUAUAAUCUGUCUUGAUGAUACAAUUCCACUGAGUCCUGGCUAUAACACUCUCGAUGUCCACAUCACUGGUUGCAGUCUUACAAGCACGGAAGGGUGGAUGCUGUGGGGGGGUCCAGGCAGCUCUGUGGAACAGUCUCCAAUGGGCUAGUAGGAUGAGAAGGUCCAGGGGUAGUUUGGGAAUCGAGGAGAAACAUCACCUCUCAAGACGGUAAACCUACUGAAAAGGUAAUUCAUGCUAGGACGUUGUUAUGCAGUCGGCUUUUCAGGCUCCACAGAUGUGCUGAAAUUCACGGCAGAAAA